ensembl:lncRNA
GACUCCUGGGUCUCUCUCAUUUAGAAGAAGUCCUUCCUGAAAUUCUCUCCCAGUUGUGGGCCAGAUAAAAUAGAAAACAAGUCAGAGCUGCAGCCCUAUAUCCAUCCUUACCCUCAGGACCCACAGGUGCUCCUGGAACCUUGACCAGCACAAUGAGGCCCAUUUUCUGAAAUCACAAGCCCAUGUGGGCAAUGAUUGGCUGGCCUGGCUGUCCUGCCCUUUGUACAUGUUCGUGGGUUUAGGUGUAGAUAAACCCACUCAAGUGCCUGCAGCUGUACUUGAUGCCGUCUUUUCUGCCUAGACGUUGCAGCGCCUGUUUGGUGAGAGAGAGUGAGGGGCCAUGGCAUUUCAGGGGAUCUGGUCUGUGUGGGGCUCUGCUAGACCUUCUUCAGGAGGUGCUAGGCUGUCACUUGCUAAGAAUGGGCUGUGUCGCCUGUUCCUGCUGUUGGAAAUCUUUUCAGGCAGAGGUGAGGAAGCAAGAAAACAGGCAGUGGGAGCAGGACAGGAGAAGUAACUCAGGUAAGAAAGUGGGAAGCUUCCAGAAGAUCACCCAGGCUAGGACCAUCCUGCCUGACCUACAGGAGCCAACUCGAAGAUCACCACAGGCCCAUAUAGAUGGGUACAGACGGUGGCCACACACAUGGAGUCUAUAGAGAAUGAGGCCCUUGGAGUCACCUGGAACAGAUGAAGGCCUGGCUUCAUCAGCUUGACAUGUUGGAUCAUAGUUCCCUGACAAAGGAUCAAACCUGUAUCCCCUGUAGUGGAAGUGCAGAGUCUUAACCACUGGACUGCCAGAAACAAACAUUAUGUUCUUGACAGCAUCUCAUUGCAGACGAGUCAAUGAUUCCCAGAAGCUACAAUAAUUACACAGGCACCUACAAUGUGAAGUAGUAAACAGUGAGGUGUAAUAUGGGAGCUAGAGCAGCUGAUAAACAAAUCAAAGGCCUGAAGACAUCUGGAACACAGAGGGAAAACAAAAGGAGACUCUUACCACUGUCUUCAAAUAUUUCAAGGCUAAAGUAUGAAAGAAACACUGACCUUUUUUCUGUGUCCUGAGAACAGAAAUUUAAUUUUAAAUGAAUUAACUUUUAAAAGCCGCAGGAAGCUAAUUUCAGACCAACAACAAUAAAAGAAUUUUCUUUUUUUUUCUCCAGUGUCAAUGAACAGAAUAGUGUGAAUGACUCAGAGUCUCUGGGUUGCCCAGUUUCACUAAAAGUAUAUAAGGGGCUCUAGAGACACAAACUUUAA